rnacentral:lncRNA from 1 species
CCAAAAGAUUAACCUUUCCUUUCUCCUUUCUUUUUUGAAAACGUUUUUCUGAAAUGAGCUUUAACGGACCCUAGAUCUACAAAAAGGGUUACUACCUUUUUAUUGUUUUUUUUUCUUGAUCUGGAUCUGUGUUGGUUUGGUGGUGGUGUUUCACGGUUUUGAUGUUUGUGAAUGGGGUUUGAUUUGAGUAUGAUGGUUUGGAAUUAGGAUUGUGGAUACGUGAUUCUGAUGUUGUGUGCGUGAUUGAUGCUUAGUUGAUGCGUUUGGGUUUUUGUGAAGAUUUGAAUCGAAAGAGGUUGAAUGAAAAUUGUUUUGUUGGAAAGUUGAUUAGGGCUGGAAUUUUGUUAGUUGGUAGUGUGUGUUUGCUGGAAAAUUGUUCUCUGUAUUUUUAGUUUAUUGCUAUUUUUUGCUGUUGGGGCCCCUCCCUUUGUCUGUGUGCAGGUGGUUAUAUUUAUAGAGCUGAAUUUCUGUUGCUUGGAGAGGAACA